rnacentral:lncRNA from 1 species
CGUGGAUGUCUGAUGACAUCGGGGGUGCCCUCCCAGCUCUCUGCGCUUCCCCUUCCCGGCUCCAAAUCCCUUUGUUCUCUGCCUUAUCGCCCAGCCAUGGGGCGGGGGCUGGGAUAGGGCUCCGAGGGCCCCGGGCUUGGUUUGAUAGGGGUUGCAGCCACCCCCGGUUUCCCCAAGGAGCCGUUAAUGCGAACGCUUGCUGUGACAGCAGAGGGUGGGCGGUGUCGCUGUGGGGCGGCGAUCCCCCCCUGGUGAGGCCACAUUUACCACCCUGUGCCCGACGCUGGGCUUCCCCAGUGCAAAACGCACCGCGGCAUCCCGGAAGGAGCCCGGCGGAGGGACGCAAAGAUACACAGAGCAUCUCCCGGCGAGGGAAGGCUGAGCGACCCGGCUCUGUUCGGCCUGGGGCAAAGAAGCCCGAAGCGAUGCGAGCAGUGUUGGUGACCGCCCGAAGGCCCGAAGCACGCGGCGCUGCCCGCAGCCGCAGCCUCCCAACGCCGUGCCCGGCGGCUGCCGUGCGCAUGCGCCGUGCCCGCCGCGUGGCACAACGGGCAGCGCCGCCCCGCGCCGCAGCCAUGGCGGUGGGGCUGCGGGUGCUGCUGCUGCUGCCGCUGCUGCCGCCCGGCGGUGAGGGGCAGCCCGGCCGUGCUGAGGGAGGGCCGUUUUGCGUGGGCCGUGGCGGUGUUCCGCGGCCCGGCGCUGUUAGGCGGGGGUAGCGUCUGCUGGCGGAGCUCUUGGUUUUGUUUGCGGCUCCGUUACUGGGUCGUGGUUCCUGCAGGACGGCUGGGGAGGGGCUCCUCAUAAGGGCGGAUAGCGGCAGCAUGAGGGGAAACGGCUUCGAACGGAAAGAGGGUCGCUUUAGAGCAGAGAUCGGGAGGAAAGGCUUCACAGUGAGUGUCCGGGACGGCCCCAUCCAGGCCAGGAGUAACCUCUGCUGCUACAGCAAAGGAUGACAGCCUGGGGCACCUGCUGGCUGUUCUGCACCACGCUGCACGAGGAGCUCAGCGCUCAGCGGGAGCAGCCAACCCCAGCAAUGCCACCGCUGCUCCUUGGCUGGAAGCAUGCAGGAGGCGUGCUGGAAAGCAAAAAGAACUGGUGAGGGGCACGGCGGCGAGGAGACCCUCUGUGCCAGCAGUGCCAUCCCGUGUGCCCCAGCCACGUGUUUCCAUUGCUUUGUGUGGCUUUGAGUCCUCACAGCUGGCAGCAGCCAUGGCAGAGCUGGCAUCAGCAUUCCGGACUGGGGGUGCAAGAAGGGAGAAUGACAUUCUUGAUCAGUUAACGAAUGGAUUCGAUGCCAUCUUUAAAGAGUGUUCUUGAAGAAGCCACGCUAAAAAUCACAUUUAAGCUCCAAAACUCCAAACCUCCUGCAGAAUGACGGAGAGGGUUGCGCGAGGAAAGCUCAGUGGGCUUCUCCAAACGGCAGUGGUUCCUAUGGGCAUACAGGAGGUGGCCACCCAAGGCAGUCCCAUGUAGAGUAUUAUCAGUUACACUCAAUGUUCUGUGCUGACGUGGUGAUAAUAAAUUGGCUCCAGCAAUUUUUUUGUGGUGGUUUUGAGUUCCUUACCCAGGACAUCCUCCUCCAUCAGGAUGGAUUCAUACCGUGGUUAUGUUUAAAGUUUGGCACGUUGGGUUAAAAUGUUUCCUUAGAGCUUUUUCUCCUCCUGCCCAAUGGAGGCCAGCAGUCCGUGCUCCUGCCGUGGGUCACCGAGGCUGCGGAGCAGGAAAGGAAGGAACAGCGAUUGCAUUUUGAAUACAGAACCAAUGGUGUGCAGUGCAUUGGGCCAACGGUUGGAUCACUGCCUUCAGAGAACCAAAUGUGCCCUUCGGAGUAUUUCGAUGGGGAUCCGUAAGGCAGUUCUGAAUGAGGAGGCAAUUAUGGGAACGUCACAGCCAGAUGCUCCUCAGUGCUUCUGUUGAAAUCCAUUUUUGUUUUGAGGUGAAAGGCUCCAGCAGG